rnacentral:rRNA from 1 species
CCAAUCAGGGUCGUGCCUGGUUAGUACUUGGAAGGGAGACCGCCUGGGAAUACCAGGUGCUGUAAGCC